rnacentral:rRNA from 1 species
AUGAACGCUGGCGGCGUGCCUAAUACAUGCAAGUCGCGCGAACGGACGAGAAGCUUGCUUCUCUGAUGUUAGCGGCGGACGGGUGAGUAACACGUGGAUAACCUACCUAUAAGACUGGGAUAACUUCGGGAAACCGGAGCUAAUACCGGAUAAUAUUUUGAACCGCAUGGUUCAAAAGUGAAAGACGGUCCUGCUGUCACUUAUAGAUGGAUCCGCGCUGCAUUAGCUAGUUGGUAAGGUAACGGCUUACCAAGGCAACGAUGCAUAGCCGACCUGAGAGGGUGAUCGGCCACACUGGAACUGAGACACGGUCCAGACUCCUACGGGAGGCAGCAGUAGGGAAUCUUCCGCAAUGGGCGAAAGCCUGACGGAGCAACGCCGCGUGAGUGAUGAAGGUCUUCGGAUCGUAAAACUCUGUUAUUAGGGAAGAACAUAUGUGUAAGUAACUGUGCACAUCUUGACGGUACCUAAUCAGAAAGCCACGGCUAACUACGUG